UCCUGCAUGAUCACUGAAGUUAAGCAAUGCCAAGCCUGGUCAGUACCUAGAUGGGUGACCGCUUGAGAAUACCAUGUGCUGUAA